rnacentral:rRNA from 1 species
UAGUCAUAUGCUUGUCUCAAAGAUUAAGCCAUGCAUGUCUAAGUAUAAGCAAUCUAUACAGUGAAACUGCGAAUGGCUCACUAAAUCAGUUAUCGUUUAUUUGAUAGUACCUUACUACUUGGAUAACCGUGGUAAUUCUAGAGCUAAUACAUGCUAAAAACCUCGACUUCGGAAGGGGUGUAUUUAUUAGAUAAAAAACCAAUGCCCUUCGGGGCUCCUUGGUGAUUCAUGAUAACUUAACGAAUCGCAUGGCCUUGUGCCGGCGAUGGUUCAUUCAAAUUUCUGCCCUAUCAACUUUCGAUGGUAGGAUAGUGGCCUACCAUGGUUUCAACGGGUAACGGGGAAUUAGGGUUCUAUUCCGGAGAGGGAGCCUGAGAAACGGCUACCACAUCCAAGGAAGGCAGCAGGCGCGCAAAUUACCCAAUCCCGACACGGGGAGGUAGUGACAAUAAAUACUGAUACAGGGCUCUUUUGGGUCUUGUAAUUGGAAUGAGUACAAUUUAAAUCCCUUAACGAGGAACAAUU